rnacentral:lncRNA from 1 species
UGGACUCUAUCAGAAGUGGCAAUGCUUGGAGGGGAAUGGACGUCUUGAUUUUCAACAGUUGGCAUUGGUGGACCCACACCAAAAGUUCUCAGCCGUAAGAUCAUAUCAUCCUCUCUUAAAUCUUAUCCGCACUUUUCAAUUAAAUAUGAGUCCGUUUGAAUGAUCUUACAACUUAUGCUUAUAAAUCUAAGUGCCUCGAAAAGCACGGAUCAUGAGGCACGUGCAUAGAAACUUGGUUUAAUGAGUCCGUUUGAAUGAUCUUACAACUUAUGCUUAUAAAUCUAAGUGCCUCGAAAAGCACGGAUCAUGAGGCACGUGCAUAGAAACUUGGUUUAAUGAGUCCGUUUGAAUGAUCUUACAACUUAUGCUUAUAAAUCUAAGUGCCUCGAAAAGCACGGAUCAUGAGGCACAUGCAUAGAAACUUGCAUCGAUAACUUCAAUUGUAAGACUAGAUCCAGAUUCCUCAUACG